rnacentral:ncRNA from 1 species
UUGGGAGAAAAUUAGUAAAUCUUAGUAUGCCUGUCUAUUCACAGUAAUGCUCUGACAUGGAUGUUAGAACAAGGCUUUACGAGCCAUGGAAGUCAUCGUGCCAUAACUGGCGAGUGUAGAACAUCGUUCACGUCACUCUUGGAAAACCUGAUUCAGGCAUACUUAGUUUUUCUUAUUUUCGGAC